CCUUUGUAGGACUUGGAGGAGAGGUUUGGCCCGAGGGCCUCCGUUGCAGACAAUAAGGGAAGGAUGGCGCGUGGCGGAGAGCGCGCCCUCCACUUUUUCUGGUGCCCAACUGGGGUGCGGGGUGGCGGCAGUGUCCUUCUCCAUCCCUCCCCGCCUCUCCUGGUGGGGUUUGGAGAACGGAUCAGAGUCUGGGCAGGAGGACAGGUGAUGGGCAUCCCCGCUUGUUUUCCCCUGGGGUGGAUGCUCUGGCUCCACCACUCCCUCCGCAACAGGUAGGGAGAUGUCAAAAGCUGGGAAGAGCUUGUUGCUGCUGAGCUCUUGAUGCUUUUGUUCUCCUGGCCUGGAUGCUCUUCCAAAAGUGGGAAAGGGGGGGGGGGGGGGGGGGGAAGUGUGUCUGAACCAAAUCCUUGUUUUCCGUCUCCACCCCCACUUCCCAAUUACGUCCCUCUUCUCAGUUUUCUAUCCCCUUUUCCUGGAAUCCGCAGCUCGUCCUUGGGAACCCUGAAGGGGGACGGGAAAACUCUCCUGUAACCCAAGCCAAACGCCGAAGGGAUUGUUCUCAAUGAGUGUCAAGGGGAUCCAAACAAAGAGGUGCAUCUACCGGAAAUAAUGUUUUGAGAUAUUCGCCUCCUUGCCCCCUCCCACCUCCAUUAAAAUUGUUUUUCUGGGAGGCUCAGUUAGAGGGAAGUUUUGAACUGGAGCCUGAGAUGAGGCGUCAGGGAAAGUCUAGGGAGGACUUAUUUCUUCUUCUUCUUUUUAAAAAAGUCCCCUCGUUGUGGAAUCGGUUUGAAGCCAGACUUGAGCUGCUCUUGGAUCCACAGGGACAGGGGUUGAGGGGAGAGAGGUGGGAGGGGAAAAGGGGUGCGAAGGGAGAAACCUGCUGCCGCUUGCUGGUUCUUUGUCUGCUCAGAGAACUUGAACAAAAGAGGAAACUCAGAUGAACUCUCCAUCUCUCCUGUGGGCUUCUCUGGGCUCCACCAGUGGGUUCAGGCUUCUCUAACUCCUCUCCAGCUGCCCCGCCAAGAGCCUGGAUUUGGAUUUUUCACAGAAAAAGUAAGGUAAAAAGUGUGAACAUCAAUGGAACAGGACAGCAAUGGAUGUCAAAGUUCGGUGUCAAAGUUACCAGGCAAAUGCCAUAUUUUAUUGUCCCUCUAACGAAAUGGAAUACAAUGCCAACUAAAAGAAGACGUGUGCUUGGAUUUCUAAGCUGCUGGAUUUUUUUCUGGGAAAGGAAAACUCAUGGAAACUGUAGUGCAUGAUUUGGAUUAUAUGAAAUGAAUGGUGCAUGUUGGGAUUCACAAAGGUUUGGACUGAGACCUUAUUUCACUGCCUAACAGCUGGAUCAUGCAUCCAUUACCAUGGCUAGACUAUCUUGCAGGUAUGACUCAUGUCGGUACAUUGAGCAGUGAUUUAUGUUUCGGAGAGUCAGUAAUUAAGGGAUUUACAUGUGGAACAGUGAGUUGCAGUUCCUUCCUGCUACAGGACAAAUACCUGAGGAUAUCUCUUCAAGCAGUCGUUGAGCCCAAGAAAGCAUCAGCAUAAUAACUUCUGUGAGAAUUUCUGAACUUUUCUGAGAUGAUGAAGAUCUAACUGGAAUUACCUUAUCCAAAAGCACUGACCACACCAACAAGAGAUCAAAUAUGUUCCAGGAGAUUGAAAGACAGCUAUGGAUAGAACUGUCUGUUCUGGACAUUGCUCAAGCCUGAAUCAUGGAGAACAAUGAUGCUUGCUCGUAUUCCAGACAUCCUACAGACUCAAGCCACGUCCAUUCUGCACAAUCAGACUCCAUCAAGCACCCAGAAGGUUGUAGAGGAUCAGACUGAGCUUCCGACCUGUUUGCCAACAAGAAUCCUUCUUCUGUUUUAGGCCAUAGGCUUCGCACCCCUGAGUUUCACUUUGAGGUUUCAUGUUGAGUAAAAAAUAAAGAGUUCUGUCUGGUUUGGGGUUAAAACCUCAAGUAACCACAACCAUCCCUCUAGAGUCUGCAGGGAAAGGAGAAGGUUCACUGGAGAGGGCUACAUCAGCUGAGCUUUGUGAGCAUUUCAAAGGAACAUUGGGGCACUGCUGCCUCUUUUUGUACUUCCUGCAGGAUUCGAGCCACGCUGUGUGCAAGAGAGCGAUUUCGUCUUCUCUCAGAGCGAUGACGCUGCACCACUUUCGGCAUAUCCUGUUUCCCCUAUUUACCUGGGUGUCUGCUGUUGCUGCUACUGGGGUUGCUGCUGCCUGCCUGCCUGCCUGCCUGCCUGUGCUUCAACCUGGUUUCUGCUAUGGGGAGAGUCGCUCAUCUGCACACAGACGAAAAGACACGAUGAAAUCUGGAUGCUGUACUUUGUUGCUGCGGCGGCUGGAAACGGGAAGAAUGUCUGAUACGAGGUUUACUUCCCAGUCCCCAAAGGGUGAAAAUGUGCAUUAAAGGGUUGAGGAGCGAACAUUUAGAGAACUGCAAUGCCAGGUAAUCCAGUGAGGGCAUCGACAGCAAUUCACUCUGCUAUGGCAAGGGGAUCAACAGGACAAAUCCAACCUCUGCUGCUCAAAGGGAUUAUUAUAGGGAAAAGCCACGGUGAUGCAACAUUUCACCUCCGUGCUGCUGUGCUGGAGAUGGAUAAAUAAAGUGUCUGAUGCGUGCGCCUGUCAGAGCAUAGCCAUGGGAGAAAAAGAGUGGAAGGGAGCAAGCCAGCAAAUGAAAAGGAAGGCGGCAUGCCGUUUGAUCGUCUGAUUCUGUGUGUUCUCAUUCCAGAAAUGAUGAUGGCGUAAUUUACAGAACCGAGUCUGGAUGGCGGGGACUCUCAAUUGUAUCGCUCUCCAGUGUGGUUACGGAGGCAACUAAAGGUGUAGAUGGCUGGAAAGACACAAACACCUUGUGGGGGAAAAGAGAAGUGUAUUCUGUGUGUGUGUGUACAUAUGUGCGUCGAGAUAAAAAGCUUUCUUACUCAGGAAUACAUAGGAAACCUUUCAGGCUGCUGGAUCAGGUUUGGUUGUGAUGUGUAUUUCAGCUAUCUCCUAUCUAUCUAUUUAUAUAUAUAUAUUUAUAUAUAUAUUCCCCUUGGAAUAGCAAUUGCCCUGUUGAAACCGAUGUAUUUGCAGGCAAGACUCUGGAAACCGUCUCUUCUUUAACACAGUGAAGCACUGAAUCCUCUUGUAUGAUCUAUGGAGGAGCUGUAGGUUCCCCCUCCCCCUGUUCUUUGUCUUUAAAAUCUUUAUAAACACAGCUGUACUCGGUCUAGUGAAAAAUUCUAUACUGUAAAUAGAAGUGUGAUCAGUCUAAUCAAAAUAAAUUAUCCCAGAUGA